UAAACAAAUGUAAUUAUAAUUUAAAUAACGCAACUAUACAAUAUGUGCAUAAAUAAAAUUAAUUACGGACUGAAAAUCCGUUACCUUCAGAAACAAACAAUAUACAAUAUUUGUGACAUUCUCAGGCAAAAGGUAACUAGAAUAUCUAUUGGUUAUGGCCUUAGGGGCUGUCCAUAAAUUACGUCAUCGAUUUUUGACCCCCCCCCCCUAUAAUCAUCCAAAAAUCAUGCUUCAAAUGACCCCAUAUCCUCCUACUUCAUGCUACCGUCAUCCGAUGUCCAGACCCCCCCCCCCCCCUAAUUUGAAAUGACGUAAUUUAUGAAUAGCCCCUUAGUGUGAUAAAAGAAAAAAAAAUAGUGUUGAUAGCGCUCGAUUUGGCAAAAAAAAAUUAUUUGUCGCACAGUUAUUUUAAAUUUGUCAAAUAUCUAAUAACUAGAUGUCACAUUGCCGCUUGGCGGGCGCCACUGUCGCACACAUAGCCAAUGAGAAUGAUUUCUAGUGCCACUUUUAUAAUAUUAGCGCCUUAUACUUAACAAUUAGAUACCUUUUACUUGAAAACGUCACAAAUGUCAAUAAUAGUACAAAUCGAAAACACCUUUAUUUUUUAAAGAGAUUGAAUACUCUUAUACUGGAAGCAAAUUCAACUUGUUUUAAGGACAACCAGUGACAUUGCUAAUAUUUAAUCUGAAAUAAUCACUGCAAGUAUUCAUUAUGUUAUAUAAUAAGUUUCCUGAUUAGUUAGGUAAUUCUUUUUUAAAACAUAAAAUGGGGCAUUAUCUAUGAAAAGGGACCUUAUUGUCGAUGGCGCUCACGCCGCACAGCGUCGCGCGUCAUUGUAUUUAUAUCGGAGCAUCGUUAAUAAUGGCGUAAGCGCUAUCGACAAUAAGGUCCCUUUUCAUAGAUAACGUCACAAUUUUUUUAUAACAUUUAAUUAUUGUUUUUACCACGUCGUCCAUACCUGCCUUACAGUUAUCGAAUAUAUCUGUGCGACAGGAUAACCAAAAACAUCUAAACACGAAUAAGGCGUUCGAUCAUGUUCAAAUUGUUCAUAUAUUUUUGAGCAACACUGUGUACAGUUUAAUAGCGGUCACAUCGCUUAAAUAUGUAAAGCAAGGACGCUAAGCACAAAGAAUAUCGUAUAUUGACCCUCCUAGUUCUAUCUCUAUCGCACGCAUAUUGCUUCCCCACUUGCACCGUGUCAUAGACCGCCACCAUCAUGGGCGGGACAGUAUAUAAUAUUAUUACGCGCGUGCGAUAGAGAUAGAAUGAGGGUCAAUGUACGACAUUCUUUGUGAUAAGCGUCCUUACUUCAUACAUUAUAAUAUUUUGGAUUUUUACUACAGAAUAUUGUGGUGUGAAAUUAUUUAUGUAAACAUUAUUCAAAGUCUUUGGCACUAAAAAUUAAACGUCAAAAGCAAUUUCAACUAUCAAAAUACUACCACCAAUACAAUAAAAUAAGGGUUUUAUAAAAAUUCGUUAAAAACAAAUUAAAUUAACGAAUAAUUACAAUUUAAAAUAGACUGAUAUCGGUGCAACUAUAGUUGGUCAACAUUUUUAUAAAUAAAAUAAAUAUUAAAUAAUUAAUAGUUAUAGGACAAUCUUACACAAAUCGACCUAGUCCUAGAUCAGGAUGAUAUUAUACACGGUAUAGACAAACUUAAAUACAGAGAAAACCAAUAACUCGGGAACAAAAUCGGCACUCUUCACACAAAUAAAUGCCCUUACCGGGGUUCGAAACCAUGGACAUCUUAAAGUAUGGACGCUAAGGAAGAAUAAUUUCGUACACUGACCCGCCUGUUUCUAUCUCUAUCACAUGCACGUAUUUAAUAUUUCUGUCCUGUCCAUGACGCCGGCGUUCAAUGACACUAUGCGAGGGGCAAAGCAAUAUAGUAGGGUACUUGACUGUAUUUAAAAUAAAUCAUUUUACACCGUGCAUCUGCAUGCACCUGGAGAGGAUGGGGGAGGAUCGUGCUGUGAGAAGAGCGUAUGUGGGGCACCCGGGCGGAAAACGUCCGUCUGGGCGUCCCAGAUACCGCUGGAGUGACGAAGCCCAAAAAGACCUGUCCGUCCUCGGAAUACCCAACUGGCGUGAAGUGGCGCAGAAUAGGGCAGAGUGGCGCUCUCUUGUGUCAGAGGCCAAGAUCCUCUUUGGGUCACUGAGCCAGUGA